CGGUCCGAGUUGUAAUUUGUAGAGGAUGCUUCGAGCAUGGUCUGGCCUAAGUUCCUUGGAACAGGACGUCAUAGAGGGUGAGAAUCCCGUAUGCGGCCAGGUGCCUACGCUCAUGUGAAGCUCCUUCGACGAGUCGAGUUGUUUGGGAAUGCAGCUCAAAAUGGGUGGUAAAUUUCAUCUAAAGCUAAAUAUUGGCCAGAGACCGAUAGCGCACAAGUAGAGUGAUCGAAAGAUGAAAAGCACUUUGGAAAGAGAGUUAAACAGUACGUGAAAUUGUUGAAAGGGAAGCGCUUGCAACCAGACUUGCGCGCGGCCGAUCAUCCGGUGUUCUCACCGGUGCACUCGGCCGUGCUCAGGCCAGCAUCGGUUUUGGCGGCUGGAUAAAGGCCCUAGGAAUGUGGCUCCUCUCGGGGAGUGUUAUAGCCUAGGGUGCAAUGCAGCCUGCUGGGACCGAGGACCGCGCUUCGGCUAGGAUGCUGGCGUAAUGGUUGUAAGCGGCCCGUCUUGAAACACGGACCAAGGAGUCUAACAUCUAUGCGAGUGUUUGGGUGUCAAACCCAUACGCGUAAUGAAAGUGAACGGAGGUGAGAACCCUUAAGGGUGCAUCAUCGACCGGUCCUGAAGUUUACGGAAGGAUCUGAGUAAGAGCAUAGCUGUUGGGACCCGAAAGAUGGUGAACUAUGCCUGAAUAGGGUGAAGCCAGAGGAAACUCUGGUGGAGGCUCGCAGCGGUUCUGACGUGCAAAUCGAUCGUCAAAUU
rnacentral:rRNA from 1 species